UACGUAGGGUGCGAGCGUUAAUCGGAAUUACUGGGCGUAAAGCGUGCGCAGGCGGCUUUGCAAGACAGAUGUGAAAUCCCCGGGCUCAACCUGGGAACUGCAUUUGUGACUGCAUAGCUAGAGUACGGUAGAGGGGGAUGGAAUUCCGCGUGUAGCAGUGAAAUGCGUAGAUAUGCGGAGGAACACCGAUGGCGAAGGCAAUCCCCCUGGACCUGUACUGACGCUCAUGCACGAAAGCGUGGGGGAGCAAACAGG
rnacentral:rRNA from 1 species